rnacentral:misc_RNA from 1 species
AGAAAGCAGUCAACGCCGCCCAGUAAAGCAGUGAUAAGGAGAUAUUUUUCAAAAAAAAAAAAGAUGGCCGGAUUGUCACAAGAUUGGGAGCCGGUGGUGAUUCGCAAGAAAGCGCCGACCGCCGCCGCACGGAAAGAUGAGAAAGCAGUCAACGCCGCCCGUCGAGCCGGUGCCGAAAUCGAAACCGUCAGAAAAGCUACUGCUGGGUCAAACAAGGCUGCCUCUAGUAGCACAACGUUGAACACGAGAAAGCUGGAUGAAGAUACUGAGAAUCUGUCACAUCAAAAGGUACCUACUGAACUGAAGAAAGCGAUUAUGCAAGCUCGACAGGAUAAGAAGCUUACUCAGUCUCAACUUGCCCAAUUGAUAAACGAAAAACCACAGAUCAUUCAAGAGUAUGAAUCUGGAAAGGCAAUUCCAAACCAACAGAUAAUUUCUAAACUGGAGAGAGCUCUUGGUGCGAAACUUCGUGGAAAGAAAUAAACUGCAAAAGUGAUGGUGGUGGUGGUGGGGUGUGUGUGUGUGUGUGAACCUUUUGAACGUCUACAUCGUUUGGGUUCUAAGUGUGGUCAUGUACAUGAGCCUUUUGAAUGUUUUCUUUAGCCAGUAAGGUGGUUCUUGUGUCUGGAUUCGGGACGUUACUUUCGUUGUUAAAACUGAAUGUUUUUCCUGUCGAAAAUGGAUGUGCUUGCUCUUGCUAGAUGUUUAAGGAUUGCAAUUAGGACAAUUCAGCAAAUUUGAUUAUCCAGACAUCUUAAUCUUAAUGAACAUGAUUGUUCACAAGAUAUAAAGUUU